rnacentral:rRNA from 1 species
UUUACUGAGAGUUUGAUCCUGGCUCAGGACGAACGCUGGCGGCGUGCCUAAUACAUGCAAGUCGUGCGGACCUUUUAAAAGCUUGCUUUUAAAAGGUUAGCGGCGGACGGGUGAGUAACACGUGGGCAACCUGCCUGUAAGAUCGGGAUAACGCCGGGAAACCGGGGCUAAUACCGGAUAGUUUUUUCCUCCGCAUGGAGGAAAAAGGAAAGACGGCUUUUGCUGUCACUUACAGAUGGGCCCGCGGCGCAUUAGCUAGUUGGUGGGGUAACGGCUCACCAAGGCAACGAUGCGUAGCCGACC